CUUGAACGCUGGCGGCAGGCCUAACACAUGCAAGUCGAGCGGAGCGGCGGACGAGUAAGUAAUACCUAGGAAUCUGCCCGGUAGUGGGGGACAACGUUCGGAGACGAACGCUAAUACCGCAUGCUAUCAGAGGAGCCUCGGUCGAAUUAGCUAGUUGGUGAUGUAAUGGCUCACCAAGGCUACGAUCCGUAACUGGUCUGAGAGGAUGAUCAGUCACACUGGAACUGAGACACGGUCCAGACUCCUACGGGAGGCAGCAGUAGGGAAUAUUGGGCAAUGGACGAAAGCCUGAUCCAGCCAUGCCGCGUGAGUGAAGAAGGUCUUCGGAUUGUAAAGCUCUGUUGGUUGGGAAGCGUUAUCUAAAGAGUAAGCACCGGCUAACUCUGUGCCAGCAGCCGCGGUAAUAC
rnacentral:rRNA from 1 species